rnacentral:rRNA from 1 species
GACGAACGCUGGCGGCGUGCUUAACACAUGCAAGUCGAACGGAAAGGCCCUGCUUGCAGGGUACUCGAGUGGCGAACGGGUGAGUAACACGUGGGUGAUCUGCCCUUCACUUCGGGAUAAGCCUGGGAAACUGGGUCUAAUACCGGAUAGGAGCCAUUUUUAGUGUGAUGGUUGGAAAGUUUUUUCGGUGUAGGAUGAGCUCGCGGCCUAUCAGCUUGUUGGUGGGGUAAUGGCCUACCAAGGCGGCGACGGGUAGCCGGCCUGAGUGGGUGGACGGCCACAUUGGGACUGAGAGACGGCCCAGACUCCGACGGUAGGCAGCAGUGGGGAAGAUUGCACAAUGGGCGCAAGCCUGAUGCAGCGACGCCGCGUGGGGGAUGACGGCCUUCGGGUUGUAAACUCCUUUCGCUAGGGACGAAGCUUUUUGUGACGGUACCUAGAUAAGAAGCACCGGCUAACUACGUG